GGCUUGUACACUCCACCGUCUAAAAUAAAUCUAGCCAAAAGGUGGUUGAGAGACAUUUUGUGGUGCCACUAUUUUCUUCCAGGUUUAGGCGCUUUGACUCUACUAACUUUAGCUAGAUGCUAUUCAGUGCAACCUUCAUGUGCACCUUGACUUCUAUGUGCUACAUGUGCUUUCUGUAAUGGCAAGGAUAAAUUACUACCCUAUUUCGGUACAAUGUAGAUCAGAGAUUCAUGUCCUAAAAUGAUUUGCUCGGCUUCAUGCAAUUGAACUGUUAUCGCAUAUUUACGAGCCCCUGGCAAGCCGGCAUUUAGGUCUCCGACUAAAGCUCCUCCUCACCACCACGGGUGCACGUCGGCGUGGCCACCCUCCCCUCCCAACUGGGCAAAUGACCUGUGGGCUCAGGUUGUCUAGCGAUUGGCUGGGUCAGCCGUUCUUGGGUGUCCGCGCGGCCUCUCCUGGGUCAGAUGUGAGAGGAAACUGAGAGGGAAGAUCGGAUGACCAGGAAACGUCUAUCUCGGGGGAUCGCUGGGAGGCCGAGAUGCCCAGAUCAAAGUGGAAAUAUCCUACCUGAACCGUUGUUGAUACAAAGAUGUGCCACGUGAUUGUUAUAUUGAGCGCAAUGUAUGACUGCAUAUAUUCUCUUUGGACUUUUUGAACCAAGUCGCAAACAUCUUAGAAAAGGACAGUGUGUGUGAGUUUUUCUAUAUCCAGUUUGAAUUCAGAAGCAUUAUGAAUUCAUUGUGUGCUUCCCUCCUCUUCCAAACUUAGUUUGGUUCUAGCAAUAGUUGGUUACUUCUUUUACCUAUUUGCCGCUUAUGUCUCCUACUCUUCAUGGGAAGAUAAGAGUUGUAUCUAGAACUGCAGUGUUUGAUUUAAGGAUCUGCUAGGCAUGUCAUGGCAAGUAAUUUUACCUGCCAAUUGCCAUGCUCCAGCAUAAAUUAUGUCCUGUUGUAGCACCUGACAUUCAGAAACUCGGUGGCCAGGUAUCAUCCUUUAGAGAAAAUAAUACCUUCCAUUCAGAUUAUUAAUGCGUAAUAUUUUGCUUGAGAACACUACUGUGGUUUGCCAUGUGCAUGCUACACCAGCAAAAAGCUAAGGUCCUAUUUCAGUGAACUAGCUACAGAAUCAGCACACAGAUUUGCUUCUCCUGAAAGAUUUUGGUGUUUGUUUUCUCAUCCUGAAAUCAAUUUUUUUAAUUUGUAGGACCUUUAGUAUUUUUCUAUAUGGUGUGGUAAAUAUUGUUAGUUCUUUUGUCUUCUCUAUUUUCUGGAGGUCUGUCAAAAGCCCUUUUAGUCGUUGCAUCAUGAUGCCACUGCCUGCCUUGGAUCUUUGGGAAACAUGUACUUGGCCAUCUCACUCAGGUUGCAGCAGCUGGAUGCUGUUUUUUAUUUCUAAAGAAAAUGGUGCCACUGUUUUUGUCCCAAAAGAAAUUACAAAGCUUAACAUUGCAUCUUAUAGCGGGUUUUUGUGGGCUGUAAAUCACAUGAAUCCAUGUUUCAAGAAACAUUGAUUUUCCUGUUAAUUUCCAUGUAAAUGAACAUUUUGGUUACUUCCAGCAACUUUUAGAUUUGAGCAUUUUGGUUUGCCAUUUACAUAUAAUCCUAGAAUGACUACCACAUGAGAUUAAGAAACUUAUUCAUAUAACUGUAAUUACUAAUUAUUAAUUACCAUUCAUACUGUGUUUUGCAUAUUCUUCUGCUAUAAAAAAAUUAUCAUGAUGUCGCUGACAUGUGAAGUUCUACAGGGCAAUGUGUUUGUCAGUCUUGUUAUCAAUUCAGUACCGACCUUUGGCUGGCAAAGAAAGUGACACAUUUUCUGAUCAUAGUUAGCUACUACAUAAAAGGUACUCCCUCCGUUUCAAAAUAGAUGACUCAACUUUAUACUAACUUUAGUACAAAGUUAGUACAAAGUUGGAUCAUCUAUUUUGGAAUGGAGGGAGUAUGACAGAAUUUUGUUGACAGAGCUUGCUGAAAAUAUCGGUCAUCAUGUAAUAGUUACACCUCUUGAGUCCAACUACGAACUCUUUCAUUAUUGGA